CUCCCGCCCUAUCCUCCCUUUUGUUUUUCACCAAGUGUCGAGGGAAAAGGACCUGGACCAAGAUCUCUCUCUCUCUCUUUGUUUUGUUUAUAUUGAUUUCUUCUUUUCAAGGUUCUCUUAGGGUUUGAGUACUUAUUUGGAUUGUGCUUCAUUCAGGGAUUGUCUAAAUUGGCAAAACGACAUGCAGAGCUAUUGGUUUUUUGAAAAGUAUCUUUGGCCAUCUGCUUUCAGUAGAAGAUAACCAUAGACCUAUCAGAGCUUAGGUACUUGGAGGACGAGGAGAAGAUAAUUAAAGGUGCAACCAUGGGUUAAGUUGUAGGUACCAUUUGGGAAACCAUGCACUUGGUAUUAUUUUCCAGGUGUUGAGAGAACCGUUGCAUUUCCUAGAUUGAAGACCAUGAAGAUGACAGAUAGCUAUGGGCAGACCUUUGCUUCAACUGGAGGAGUUUAUAUAGAUUUGGAGCAAUUGAUACAGAAUUACAGGAUGAAGAGACUUUGAUAAGGAGCAGAGAUGGUGGUUUUGAUGUUGGAGUUUCUACUUUGGGUCAAAUAUAAUCAUUUAUUCCCUCCACAAUUGGAAAUUGCACAUCAUCAAGGAAAUUGGCCUCUCACCAGGAGCUUGGAUCUCUUGAAAUCAGAAAAACGUACUAGCACUUUAAGAGCAUGAACAUUCAACCACACAUUGGGAAUAUUUCCAAUACAUGUAUGCAGGAGGUGUUUCUGUUGUAUGGUUGGAUGCCCCCUCUCUUAGUUUAAUGCUUGGAUUGUAUUCAAAUUGAUUUGGUUCAAUUGAAAUAUAAUAUUGUCGACUUAAAUGGAUUUAUGGUUUUUUCAUUAUUUU